rnacentral:rRNA from 1 species
AAUCAACGCUGGCGGCGUGCCUAACACAUGCAAGUCGAACGAGAAGGUGACUUCGGUCACUGGAUAGUGGCGUCCGGGUGAGUAACACGUAGGUAAUCUACCUUCGGGUGGGGAAUAACGUCUCGAAAGAGGACGCUAAUACCCGCAUAAUGCAGCGGCACCUAAAUGGUGAGUUAGUUGUUAAAGCGGGGGAUCUUCGGACCUCGCGCCUGAAGAGGAGCCUGCGGCAGAUUAGCUACGUUGGUGAGGUAAUGGCUCACCAAGGCUUCGAUCUGUAGCUGGUCUGAGAGGACGGCCAGCCACACUGGCACUGACACACGGCCAGACUCCUACGGGAGGCAGCAGUGGGAAUUUUGGGCAAUGGGCGAAAGCCUGACGCAGCCAUG